ensembl:snRNA U5 U5 spliceosomal RNA
AAGUGAUGCUUAUACUUCAGAUCAUAUAAAUCUUUUGUCUUAUACUAAAGAUUUCUGUGGAGAGGAAGAAUUCUGAGUCAUUACUCAAUUUUUUGAGAGCCUUGUUUCUGCAGGGCU